rnacentral:rRNA from 1 species
AACGAACGCUGGCGGCGUGCCUAACACAUGCAAGUCGAACGGAGAUAAGAAGCUCGCUUCUUAUUUUAGUGGCGCACGGGUGAGUAACGCGUGGAUAAUCUACCUGAUGCUCUGGGAUAACAUCUCGAAAGGGGUGCUAAUACCGGAUAAGCCCACGAUCUCUUCGGAGAAUGCGGGAAAAGGAGGGGACCUUCGGGCCUUCCGACGUCAGAUGAGUCCGCGUCCCAUUAGCUAGUUGGCGGGGUAAUGGCCCACCAAGGCUACGAUGGGUAGCUGGUCUGAGAGGAUGAUCAGCCACACUGGAACUGAGACACGGUCCAGACUCCUACGGGAGGCAGCAGUGGGGAAUUUUGCGCAAUGGGGGAAACCCUGACGCAGCAACGCCGCGUGAGUGAUGAAGGCUUUCGGGUCGUAAAGCUCUGUCAGAAGGGAAGAAAUGUAGGUGGCUAAUAUCCAUUCUACUUGACGGUACCUUCAAAGGAAGCACCGGCUAGCUCCGUGCCAGCCGCCGCAGUAAAAC